ACAUGCCUACAACAUAACGUUAAUGCACCAUAUCCUAUUAGAAUUCCACAGUUAAGCAUGCUUAGGCUAGAGUAGUACUGGGAUGGGUGACCGCCCGGGAAGUCCUAGUGUUUUACAUGCC
rnacentral:rRNA from 1 species